rnacentral:rRNA from 1 species
GCAAGUCGAACGGUAGCACAGAGAGCUUGCUCUCGGGUGACGAGUGGCGGACGGGUGAGUAAUGUCUGGGAAACUGCCUGAUGGAGGGGGAUAACUACUGGAAACGGUAGCUAAUACCGCAUAACGUCGCAAGACCAAAGAGGGGGACCUUCGGGCCUCUUGCCAUCAGAUGUGCCCAGAUGGGAUUAGCUAGUAGGUGGGGUAACGGCUCACCUAGGCGACGAUCCCUAGCUGGUCUGAGAGGAUGACCAGCCACACUGGAACUGAGACACGGUCCAGACUCCUACGGGAGGCAGCAGUGGGGAAUAUUGCACAAUGGGCGCAAGCCUGAUGCAGCCAUGCCGCGUGUGUGAAGAAGGCCUUCGGGUUGUAAAGCACUUUCAGCGGGGAGGAA